rnacentral:lncRNA from 1 species
CCCAGUGCCUUUUGCAAAUAAAACCAAAAGCAUGAAUACUAUAACACUAUCUUUUUUCUCUCUUUUUUUUUUUUUUUUUUGGAAUGGGAUUUACCCAGAGUUACCCAGCAAGUCAUGGAUGCAGCUAGAGAAGAAGAAUCUGAUCCCCUGAGACCCACUGCCUCCGCCACACGGGCUGGAGUAAUCACCUAAGUUUGAGAGCUGAAGAGGCACUGGUGAGGCAGAGUCAGAUGUUCAGUCAAGUCACUUCAAAGUAACAAGUUACCACACACCAAGGCCAUUGUAAACGUUCCUGUGAGAGCUCUCAGCCAAGGGCAGAUGCCUGAUUAAUUGAGACAAUUUAGUUCAGAGUGGAAAGGAUCUGUGUGCAGCCAUGGACACUUCUUUGGAGCCAACAUUAUCUCCCUUGUCAGUAUUGCUCCUACACCUGAAUGUUGUCGCCCACAGAAGCAGAAACAUUUGCUGCUGUGUCCUUGUUCCUCAUUUCUCCUCCAGGACUGUGUACAUGCCACAAUUCCAUGUGAAAAAAGAUUGUCAAAGGGGCCUAAAAAGGGCUGCUCAGGAAAUUCCUGGAGUGAAUCACCUGAUUUCAGAAGGAACCAUUUGGCUGGAACAGCGCAGGAGAGC